CAGCCGUAAACUAUGCUCGCUAGGUGUCAGGCAUGGCGCGACCGUGUCUGGUGCCGCAGGGAAGCCGUGAAGCGAGCCACCUGGGAAGUACGGCCGCAAGGCUGAACUUAAAGGAAUUGGCGGGGGGAGCACAACAACGGGUGGAGCCUGCGGUUUAAUUGGAUUCAACGCCGAAAAACUCACCAGCAGCGACUGUUACAUGAAAGUCAGGUUGAUGACCUUACUAGAUUUUCAGAGAGGAGGUGCAUGGCGUAGACGUCU
rnacentral:rRNA from 1 species